UCAGAUUGUAUUUGUUUUUUUAUUAUUGUUUGUGAAGUUUUUAUUUCCUCUCUCUCUCUACUUUUCUAUGUCCCUGCAAUUGGUUUUUUUCAGAAUAGUGUCACUUUAUUUGUAUUGAUUACUGUUACGAUGAUUCCCAAUCUACGUGAAUUUCACAUGACUUACACUUCAUGUUUUCAAUUUCUGGCAUAGAUGUUCAUUCAUGCAGAUCUUUUCAUGUCUGAAAAUUCCCACUGUAGAGAUCUUACUUUGAUUCAUCUCUGGGUCAGCUAAGCUGUAUCUCAAGUUUAUCUUCUUCUCCCCAAAAUUAAUUGUCUGCCGAAUUCAUCAUGGCAGCAUCCUUCUACCGCUUGCAUUUUCUGUUUACAAAUGGAGGCAUUUUCUUUCAUGCUCACCUUCCCUGCAUGCUCAGCUUUCACCUGGUCACUGCCAUCUUCAUGUACCAUACUCACCAGUCUAUGUCAAGAACUCAUGUUUGUUUCCUUGAAUUCCCACAGGAUUGCAGCAUUUUCUUCAAUGGUAGCCGCUUUUCUCAUGGGAGAGGGAUUGUGAUUCAGCUCUUGACUCUUCUAAGUGCUUCAUUCUGCUACAGCUCUGAAAUCUUUGCAAAGAUCUAACACCAUCAAAUGGAAGAGCAUACAAUCUAAAGUGAAAAUUACGAGCUCCCUCAAGCUGGUGGAUCACACACACUGUUCAAUAGGUAACUGUUGUGGCUUUUUCAAACAGAUUGAACAUCUUUUCAAGUGUUUAUCAGUUAACCCAAUUCCCUUCUCAGUGAGUAUCUGUUAAUUUUAUUUGCAGAUUUUAAUGUUUGUCUGUUAUUGUUGUA
rnacentral:lncRNA from 13 species